rnacentral:rRNA from 1 species
UGUGGCCUACGGGAGGCAGCAGUGAGGAAUAUUGGUCAAUGGUCGGGAGACUGAACCAGCCAAGCCGCGUGAGGGAUGAAGGUACAGAGUAUCGUAAACCUCUUUUGUCAGGGAACAAAGGCGGGGACGUGUCCCCGGAUGAGUGUACCUGAAGAAAAAGCAUCGGCUAACUCCGUGCCAGCAGCCGCGGUAAUACGGAGGAUGCGAGCGUUAUCCGGAUUCAUUGGGUUUAAAGGGUGCGCAGGCGGGCUGUUAAGUCAGCGGUAAAAGCCC